ensembl:lncRNA
CACACACACACACACACACACACGGACACACACACACACACACUCUCUCUCUCUCUCUCUCUCUCACACACACACACACUCUCUCUCUCUCUCUCUCUCUCUCACACACACACACACACACACACCUCACUCUGUGCAGUCACACAUGAAGGAGGACAUUUCUGGUCAUUGUCACUGCACUCAUCAGCUGUGCAGCUGUUACACGUCCAUGCUUAGUGUUUCAGUGCAGCGCAAUUGAUGUGAUUGCGAGAGAUGUGUAACAGUAGGUCAGGUCAUUACUAGUUCCCCCCUCUCUGUGAUCUGUGGAGUUUAAUUUGUGUGCGGUGAAGCUCACAAGGUCAAGGCCCUCUCACCCUCUACAUCUGGCACACACUCCACGCACAUGUGUGUUUGGUAUACUAGACAGCAUUUACACAGAGUCCAUCUGUAAUCCAGUUUAUCAUUGGCACAGCCAGCAAAGCGCUGGGUCAGUUUGAGCCCUCUCACGAUUUCCUCGGACGUAGAUUGACAGAGACGUGUGCUUCUGUUUUGCCUCUGACUGACACGCUUCGCUAGGGACGCAGAGCUAGGCUAACCCUAGCCUUGAACUGGAUACCCCUGGACCAUAAUCAUCUUAGCCAUGAUAUACCGCCAAACCUGUUUAAAUUAAAGGCAAUAAGACAGAAUAUUUUAAAAAGUCCUUUUUAAAAGUUGUAACUAAAGCUGACUAAUUUGGUAAAGACAGUGGUUUCUCUAAUACAUGUAUUUGUAUGUUUGCCUUGUCGUGUCCUCCUUGCCCAGGAGGGUUCGACGGACAGUCUGUACCGGCCGGCGGAGCACAGCAAUGGCUCCCAGGACAGCGGCAAGCUUCCCAGCAAGCCGAGCAGCCCCAGGCCUCUGCGGGAGAGUGCCAAGUGGCGCGGCUCGGAGCCCUGCAUCGCCACGGUGGGCGUGAAGGUAGCUACCGCUCAAACCUGGCUAGUCUUACAGUUUUACAACCCUGUUGGUCCUGUGGUGUACAGAUAGCUACCGCUCAAACCUGGCUAGUCUUACAGUUUUACAACCCUGUUGGUCCUGUGGUGUACAGAUAGCUACCGCUCAAACCUGGCUAGUCUUACAGUUAUACAACCCUGUUUGGAGUAAAGUAGGAUACAAGACUAGAAGGUGUCACCAUUUAGCUACUUGUCCAAAUUGUGAUUUUGGGAUUUUUGGACCUUUGGUUUUCAAAUUUUACAUUUUAAAGUUUUUUGUAAACAUAGUGAAUCUUGAAAUGUAAAUGUAAGUAAACUUAUUGAUUGAUCUUGGUACUGCAAAUUAAAAUGCUUUCACUAAAACAGCAGUACGUGUACAUGCAAUAGAGCUGUGAAAUCAGCGAUAAUGGAAUAUAUUGUACAAAAUGUCUAAUGCGGCAUUCUUCGAAAAUAAUCCCUGAAUUGCAAUGUUUUGCAAAGUAUUUAAAUAAAAAAUACACUUAUGCUGCAUUUUGUACAUCUUUUUCAAGUAGUGAUUUUCUUCCCUGUGACCCUCAGGAACAGAGUCGCACAUCAAGUUUAAAGAAGGCUAAAAGAAGGUAAGUUUGCAUGCACGUCUCACACGCUGACUGGUGUGGCAGUCUAGGGCUAAGCCUGACUAAUGGGAAAGGGAAACCAUGCUAAGCUCUAGAUAACCUCCGCUAAUGACUUAAGUAGAGGCCCCUAACGUGUUUGUCGUUAACAUUUGUCCCGCAGUAAGUUUCAGACUGGGCCGGGAGUUGGUGUCACAUGGUCAGGACCAAACUAGCUUUGAAAGCCUCAUCUUCUCCACCAUAGACCCCUGAUGUCAGGACUGACUCUGACACCACACUAACUGCUGUGCUUAGAAACAGAUAUGAACCGUGUAAUCAAUGUCAUCUAUGUAUAUCCAGACUGAUAUUUCAUUCCGGAUUUGAAUCCAGAAAUUUGAUUCCUGACUCUACUGUAUACCACUGAGAUAUAUUCCAUUUCUAGUACAGAGGUACUUGGUGUUGCUGAGAUGGUAUACUUCAGGCAGUAACCCAUGUACUCUCACUUCUUUAGAUUCAGUUCUUCAUUUAGAUUUUUUUAUUGACGUCUGGAGAGAUUUAGUAUAAUCAGGAAAAAAGGCAGUCUAGGUAGGGUCGGAACAUUUCAUCGCUCCCUCCAAAUCACCAACACACUUGACAAACAGGACCCACAAAUAAUAUUCCCAGGCAAAUUGAAAUACAUACAAAUAUAUUGUCUUAUAUAUAUUGUAUAUACCUUCUCUGUAUUGAGGUGGUAUUGGUUGUAGCUUUUAGCGCCAUCGUUCUCUUUAUUAUCAGCAUGAUUUGGUUCUCUAUCGUACUGUUUUCAAUAGAAUACCACACACAGUUUUGUCUCAAUCUCCAGUAACUCUCUGGGGGGUUAUUACAGGUCACACAUAGUUGAGGGGAGGUUAUCUACAGCCAACGAGGCUCUAGGUGAGUAUGACUUCCAUCGCUCCCCUCUGUUAUCCUCUGUUUUCCCUAUUCGUUCAUCAGAUCAAGCAUAUUUUUCCACCAUGUAUCUUACUGAGCCCAGACUGUCACAAAUGUGUGUGUGUGUGUGUGUGUGUCUCUCUCUCUCUCUCUCUCUCUCUUUGAGUGUGUGUGUGUGUGUGUGUGUGUGUGUGUGUGUGUGUGUUUCUCUCUCUCUCUCUCUCUUUGAGUGUGUGUGUGUGUGUGUUUUACAAACCUACUUGGCAAAGCACUUUGCUUUUGGAGCUCAGUUUCAUUUCUUUUGGUCGUCCCAGUGCUCUGCCUCUACUAUAAAAAGCUUAAUGUCUCUGCCCACACCCCUCUCUCCUCUCUGUGCAGAUAUUCCAGAUUGUAGUAACGUGUACUGGCAGGCUUCCAGACAGAAAGAGGUCUGGGUUCAAACCAAGAAUGGUCAGAAUAAAGGUAAGGAAUCAAUGUUGUGUGUGUGUGUCUCUCUCUGUGUGUGGGGGUGUGUGUGUCUGUGUGUGUGU